AUACAAAUCACCUGGGAUCUUGCUAAAAUGCAGAUUCUGAUUCAUUAGGUCUGGGUGGACCCUAAGAACUUGCAUUUUUAACCAGUUCCCAGGUGAUGCUGUU
rnacentral:pre_miRNA from 2 species